CUAAUACAUGCAAGUCGAACGAAACUCUUACACCGAAUGCUUGCAUUCACCGUAAGAAGUUGAGUGGCGGACGGGUGAGUAACACGUGGGUAACCUGCCUAAAAGAAGGGGAUAACACUUGGAAACAGGUGCUAAUACCGUAUAUCUCUAAGGAUCGCAUGAUUCUUAGAUGAAAGAUGGUUCUGCUAUCGCUUUUAGAUGGACCCGCGGCGUAUUAACUAGUUGGUGGGGUAACGGCCUACCAAGGUGAUGAUACGUAGCCGAACUGAGAGGUUGAUCGGCCACAUUGGGACUGAGACACGGCCCAAACUCCUACGGGAGGCAGUAGUAGGGAAUCUUCCACAAUGGACGCAAGUCUGAUGGAGCAACGCCGCGUGAGUGAAGAAGGUCUUCGGAUCGUAAAACUCUGUAGUUAGAGAAGAACACGAGUGAGAGUAACUGUUCAUUCGAUGACGGUAUCUAACCAGCAAGUCACGGCUAACUACGUGCCAGCGGCCGCGGUAAUACGUAGGUGGCAAGCGUUGUCCGGAUUUAUUGGGCGUAAAGGGAACGCAGGCGGUCUUUUAAGUCUGAUGUGAAAGCCUUCGGCUUAACCGGAGUAGUGCAUUGGAAACUGGAAGACUUGAGUGCAGAAGAGGAGAGUGGAACUCCAUGUGUAGCGGUGAAAUGCGUAGAUAUAUGGAAGAACACCAGUGGCGAAAGCGGC
rnacentral:rRNA from 1 species